GAUGGCUCUUAUCUAUGGCAAUUUCUAUGAAGUUUUUGGACAGAGAAGCAUUGGCAGAACACAGGGUUUUUCCGGUCUGGGCCCAUGCGUCACAUGUGCACUUGAGCACACAGUUCCCUCAGGCUUAUUGUUCAGUCUUGUGAAAUGUGGAUAACGGAUCUAUUCCCUUCUCAAUGAGACUAACGAGCCAAAGGUUUGCAAGACGUCUUGAGAAGUUUUCUGCAAGUUUUAAAACAAACUCUUCCAAAACCAUGUUUUCAAAAACCCGAUUUGUUUAAUUCCUUAGUUAUUUUUAGAACUAAAUACAUCUCUUAAGUGGCAUUUAAAAAGAGCAAGAUUACAAUUCCGUAAUCUGCUGUAAACAUUGCCAUGAACACUGCAAGCAACCUUGACUAGCUGAGCUCAUGGAAAUUGUGUCUUCAUCUGCCUGUGUCUUUCCUUUGCUCUAACUUCACAUUACCAGAAAUAUGCAGCUCACGUGGGAUGACAUUUAUUCAAGGUAAUGAUAACAAUCUAGCUGUCUCCCCCUGUGAUGCAUGUGUUCCGGCCCUUCCUGGCCCAAGGUCCAUUUGCUUGCUUUUCUCUCAGAGCUCAUUCCUUCUCAGUCAUUUUGGCCAGAAAGUUCCCGCUUCGGAGCUGAAGGUGAUUGGGAGAUUUUAACUUAGAUCUCUAGCAAGUGCUACAAGAAAGAAAAGAUCCUGAACAAUCAACCAAGUUUUCUGUGAAGUCAAGUCCAAGUAACAUCCCUG
rnacentral:lncRNA from 1 species